rnacentral:rRNA from 1 species
AGUAACGCGUAGGUAACCUGCCUUGUAGCGGGGGAUAACUAUUGGAAACGAUAGCUAAUACCGCAUAACAAUGGAUGACACAUGUCAUUUAUUUGAAAGGGGCAAUUGCUCCACUACAAGAUGGACCUGCGUUGUAUUAGCUAGUAGGUGAGGUAACGGCUCACCUAGGCGACGAUACAUAGCCGACCUGAGAGGGUGAUCGGCCACACUGGGACUGAGACACGGCCCAGACUCCUACGGGAGGCAGCAGUAGGGAAUCUUCGGCAAUGGGGGCAACCCUGACCGAGCAACGCCGCGUGAGUGAAGAAGGUUUUCGGAUCGUAAAGCUCUGUUGUAAGUCAAGAACGAGUGUGAGAGUGGAAAGUUCACACUGUGACGGUAGCUUACCAGAAAGGGACGGCUAACUACGUGCCAGCAGCCGCGGUAAUACGUAGGUCCCGAGCGUUGUCCGGAUUUAUUGGGCGUAAAGCGAGCGCAGGCGGUUUGAUAAGUCUGAAGUUAAAGGCUGUGGCUCAACCAUAGUUCGCUUUGGAAACUGUCAAACUUGAGUGCAGAAGGGGAGAGUGGAAU